UGCAGAAAUUAUCACUACUAAACGGGAAUUUGGUUGCAAAUAAAUAGAAAGUCAUUUAUUUGGGGUAUAAAAUUCGGAAAUUUUAUCAAAAAAUUAUCUCCCUUUGUGGAACUCUCAUGGGAAGAAGGUAGGGAAGAAUGAUUCAUAAGGCAGAUGACAACAACAUGGAAUGGGUGGAAAGUGAUGGGAAAUAAAUUUAUAGCCUUGGUGAAAAUUACAAGGAAAGAGGGAGUCUAUUUACAUCAGGGUUGCAAGAAGUAUACUUCAGCACACCUGAGAUUUUUAAAUGUCCAUCAGAAAUUGUGUGAAUUCCAGAAUCAUUGUUCACUGCACUGCACAGCUGAUGUGCAUUAACUAUGAUCUAGACUUAACAGACAUCAUCAUGCCUAUGCCAAUCAUGGACAUUGACUUUGAAUAAAGAACAACAUGUUGUCACCCAUUACAUGACAAAUCUAACUCAUAUGUGAAAGGGGGGGGGGUUAACUCCAAAGCCGAUAGAUCUGCCACAUUGCUCAAGCUGCCAUUGAUUCUGGUAAGUUAUUUUUUUUUUCAUCUUCCUGCACUAACAGAUAUUGAAUUAUGCAUAAAUACUCAUGGAUGAAUUUUUUUUAAUUUUUACUUCUAUUUGAAAUUUUCAAGAUAUCAAUUUCCUCAAUGCACAAUUUUCUAGAUUAAAAUACUGUUACAACAUAUUUAGGGAAUAUAAUGAAAUUUUAAUAUAUGUGUUUUGUGUUUGCAGACAAGACAAUAUAUUGAGAAAUACAAAAGUUGUGUCCAGAUUAAGACAGAUGUAAAGAAAGAGUUGAAAGAUGUUUUCUGAAGUGAGACAGCCAUACUCCUGCUUUCCAAGGAACCAAACAAUUACUUUCCUUGUAUUGACAUGGUGAAAAAUGGGGAGGGUCCAGAAAAUGACGAAGACCUCCAGAAUGUCAUCAGUGAUAUUGUUGCAAUUGAAUGUAGCCAAUUAUUAUCCAAUAUAAAUUAUCUAUGACUGAACUCAUAAGUGGUUAAGGAAAACUGUUUUAAUUUUUAUUCUUGCAAAAAAGAAUUGCAAUGAUUAAAUCUGUAUGUUUAUAAUG